GACGAACGCUGGCGGCGUGCUUAACACAUGCAAGUCGAACGGAAAGGCCCUGCUUUUGUGGGUUGCUCGAGUGGCGAACGGGUGAGUAACACGUGAGUAACCUGCCCUUGACUUUGGGAUAACUUCAGGAAACUGGGGCUAAUACCGGAUAGGAGCUCCUGCUGCAUGGUGGGGGUUGGAAAGUUUCGGCGGUUGGGGAUGGACUCGCGGCUUAUCAGCUUGUUGGUGGGGUAGUGGCUUACCAAGGCUUUGACGGGUAGCCGGCCUGAGAGGGUGACCGGCCACAUUGGGACUGAGAUACGGCCCAGACUCCUACGGGAGGCAGCAGUGGGGAAUAUUGCACAAUGGGCGGAAGCCUGAUGCAGCAACGCUGCGUGCGGGAUGACGGCCUUCGGGUUGUAAACCGCUUUCGCAUGUGACGAAGAGUGAGUGACGGUAAUGGGUAAAGAAGCAACGGCUAACUACGUG
rnacentral:rRNA from 1 species